rnacentral:rRNA from 1 species
AGGACGAACGCUGGCGGCGUGCUUAACACAUGCAAGUCGAGCGGUGAUCCUCCUUCGGGAGGUGAUCAGCGGCGAACGGGUGAGUAACACGUGGGCAACCUGCCCCUCACACUGGGAUAACCUCGGGAAACCGGGGCUAAUACCGGAUACGACCUCGAGCGGCAUCUCUUGAGGUGGAAAGCUCCGACGGUGAGGGAUGGGCCCGCGGCCUAUCAGCUUGUUGGUGGGGUAAUGGCCUACCAAGGCGACGACGGGUAGCCGGCCUGAGAGGGCGACCGGCCACACUGGGACUGAGACACGGCCCAGACUCCUACGGGAGGCAGCAGUGGGGAAUAUUGCGCAAUGGGCGAAAGCCUGACGCAGCGACGCCGCGUGAGGGAUGAAGGCCUUCGGGUUGUAAACCUCUUUCAGCAGGGACGAAGCGAAAGUGACGGUACCUGCAGAAGAAGCACCGGCUAACUACGCGCCAGCAGCCGCGGUAA